GUCCACAGCCAUACCACCCUGAAUGAGCCCCAUCUCCUCUGAUCUUGGACGCUAAGCAGGGUAGACAUGGUUGGUACUUGGAUGGGAGACCUCCUGGGAAUACAGGGUGCUGUAGGCU
ensembl:rRNA 5S_rRNA 5S ribosomal RNA